UUCAUUCACUACUGUAAGUCGCUCUGGAUAAGAGCGUCUGCUAGAUGACUAAAA
rfam:Salmo salar isolate Sally breed double haploid chromosome ssa14, whole genome shotgun sequence.